ensembl:lncRNA
AUGGCUAUUCAAACUGUGUCCCAUGGACCAGCAGCAUUGACAUCACCUGGGAGCUUGUUCAAAGUGCAGAAUCUUGGGCUGCAGCUCAGACCUACUGAAUCAGAAGCUGCAUUGAACAAGAUAACCCAGGCUCCUUCCCUCCGGAUUUCCAUUCUGUUUAUAAAUAUUGAAGCUGAAAUGUAAACCACUUUGAAACUCUUCUCCUCAAGGCCUGCAUGUCCUGCUUCUGGAACAGUAGGACGGCAAAAGGCAACUGGGUAUCUUGCAAUGCCACCUCCAAGCUGAGUGAUCCAAGGCAUAGUGCUUCCAAUGUCUGAGCCCCAGUUUCCCCAUCACUAAGGUACCUACAACAGACAAGAAAUAUACAUUAUGAAAUAUAGCUCUUCCAGUAUUACCUACAGGGUGCUCUAACUAUGCAGCUGCCGCUAGACUGUGUGACAUCUUUAUUGGAAAUUAGCAAAAGAUACCCCUUUUCAGAGUUCACAGCUCCACAAACAAACAGCUUGGUGAGUAGCAAGUACAUGUUUCUGACCAGGGUAUGGCUUAGCAAGCGGAGCUUGGGAUGAAUUGCCGUCUCUACUGGCCUCCUCGGCUGUUUGUGCCGUGCACACACUGCCCCACAGAACAGAGCAGCCCUUCCUGGCUCAGUCACUUAAGUUUCUUUCUACUACUCUCAGAAAGUG